GGAUUAGAUACCCUGGUAGUCCACGCCCUAAACGUUGAUCACUCGAUGUUGGCGAUAUACUGUCAGCGUCCAAGCUAAAGCGUUAAGUGAUCCACCUGGGGAGUACGUCCGCAAGGAUGAAACUCAAAGGAAUUGACGGGGGCCUGCACAAGCGGUGGAGCAUGUGGUUUAAUUCGAUGAUACGCGAGGAACCUUACCAGGGCUUGAAAGUUAGUGACCGACUGAGAAAUCAGUCCUUCUUUCGAGACACAAAACUAGGUGCUGCAUGGCUGUCGUCAGCUCGUGCCG
rnacentral:rRNA from 1 species